UCGAACGCUUUGUUUUUAUUGAUAUGAAGAGCUUGCUCUGAUUUGAUUUCAUCUGACAAAGAGUGGCGAACGGGUGAGUAACACGUGGGUAACCUACCUCUUAGCAGGGGAUAACAUUUGGAAACAAGUGCUAAUACCGUAUAACACUAACAACCGCAUGGUUGUUAGUUGAAAGAUGGUUCUGCUAUCACUAAGAGAUGGACCCGCGGUGCAUUAGCUAGUUGGUAAGGUAAUGGCUUACCAAGGCGAUGAUGCGUAGCCGAGUUGAGAGACUGAUCGGCCACAAUGGGACUGAGACACGGCCCAUACUCCUACGGGAGGCAGCAGUAGGGAAUCUUCCACAAUGGGCGCAAGCCUGAUGGAGCAACGCCGCGUGUGUGAUGAAGGGUUUCGGCUCGUAAAACACUGUUAUAAGAGAAGAACGACAUUGAGAGUAACUGUUCAGUGUGUGACGGUAUCUUAUCAGAAAGGAACGGCUAAAUACGUGCCAGCAGCCGCGGUAAUACGUAUGUUCCAAGCGUUAUCCGGAUUUAUUGGGCGUAAAGCGAGCGCAGACGGUUAUUUAAGUCUGAAGUGAAAGCCCUCAGCUCAACUGAGGAAGGGCUUUGGAAACUGGAUAACUUGAGUGCAGUAGAGGAAAGUGGAACUCCAUGUGUAGCGGUGAAAUGCGUAGAUAUAUGGAAGAACACCGGUGGCGAAAGCGGCUUUCUGGACUGUAACUGACGUUGAGGCUCGAAAGUGUGGGUAGCAAACAGGAUUAGAUACCCUGGUAGUCCACACCGUAAACGAUGAGUGCUAGAUGUUCGAGGGUUUCCGCCCUUGAGUGUCGCAGCUAACGCAUUAAGCACUCCGCCUGGGGAGUACGACCGCAAGGUUGAAACUCAAAG
rnacentral:rRNA from 1 species